rnacentral:rRNA from 1 species
ACUCCUACGGGAGGCAGCAGUGGGGAAUUUUGCGCAAUGGGGGAAACCCUGACGCAGCAACGCCGCGUGAGUGAUGAAGGCCCUUGGGUCGUAAAGCUCUGACAGAGGGAAAGAAAUGCAGGGGAGCUAAUAUCUUCCUUGCUUGACGGUACCCUCAAAGGAAGCACCGGCUAACUCCGUGCCAGCAGCCGCGGUAAUACGGGGGGUGCAAGCGUUGUUCGGAUUUAUUGGGCGUAAAGCGCGUGUAGGCGGUUUUAUAAGUCUGAUGUGAAAGCCCUGGGCUCAACCCGGGAAGUGCAUUGGAUACUGUAAGACUUGAAUACGGGAGAGGGCAGUGGAAUUCCUAGUGUAGGAGUGAAAUCCGUAGAUAUUAGGAGGAACACCGGUGGCGAAGGCGGCUGCCUGGACCGAUAUUGACGCUGAGACGCGAAAGCGUGGGUAGCAAACAGGAUUAGAUACCCUGGUAGUCCACGCCGUAAACGAUGAGAACUAGGUGUCGCGGGUA